CGUCCUCUAGCGGUCUUCAAAAUUUCUAUCAUUUAUUUCCCUCCAAAAUACACCACAAAAGAGAGGACGAAAUCAUCUUCUACACUGCUCUGCACUCUAGGAAUUGCCACUCAAUCCUCUUCAACAAGUGAACAGCCACUCUCCUAGGCAUUACCAAAGUAAGACCAACACGACUAAAAAUAGUACUCCAUAUGGCACUUGCAAGCUCACAAUGCAAAAAAAGAUAAUCCAUAGACUCUACACAUCUCUUACACACAAACCGGUUCACCACACUGACAUGCCAUUUCCUAAGGUUAUCUAUGGUAAGGAUUUUUCCUAAGGUAUUUGACCAAGCAAAAAUUGCCACUCUCAAAGGGACCUUAUUAUGCCAGAUACACUUUUAAGGGAAAGGAGUACCAUUAUGGAGGACAAGGACAUUAUAGAACAAUCUAACGUUGAACAAUCCUCUCUUGGAAAGGACCCAACAAAGCUUCUCUUCACCUCCCCAGCCCGAUUUAGAGGAAUACAACAAAUUGAAGAAUGAAGCAAAGAAAUCCACCUCCCAAUCAUGAGCCACUUUAAUUAAGCUUAUGUUCCACUUAUGGGAGUCACUAAAAACCUCCUAAUGAUCCGCCACAGAGGCAUCCUUGACGCGAACUAUACAAUACAAAAUUAGAAAAGCUCGUUGAGGGCCUGAUCUCUACAUCACGUGCCAUUCCAAAAUCUAUUUUUAGAGCCAUCUCUCACCUCAAAUCUAACGUGACUAGCAAACUCCCGCAGCCACUCCCGAUAUUUUUUCAUAGCCCCACUCCAAACUAAAAGGUAUCUUUCAUAUGGCUUUAUAUGACUUUUGUAAUAAGUGAAAGAAUUUCAGCUCAUUGGAAAAGUGCAUUUGGUUUUCCUGUAUCAUGGUCAAAAAUAAGAUAUGGUAAUACACUGGGAAACCUAAUUUUCAUGCUCAAAGCAAAACUCCUUUCUAAUAUUCCAAAUUUCUUUUUAUCAAUUAUCCACCACUUUUGAAUUUUUUAUUUUAAAUCUUAGGCAUGGCUGCAUAUUGCAGUGUGGAUGGUACAAUUCUCCGUUUCCAGGUGAGAUACAGUUCCCUUCCAGGUCUCACUUGCAUACAAGAAAAGCAGUGGAGAAAGAUCAUACGCGAAAUCGGACCCCGCAUUUUCUUUGUGGGUCACUAACUGAAGAGGAAUCAACUAUCGCAAUCAAAACUCCAGUACCAAACACCCCUUUCCCAUUAAAGAAGUCACUUAACAAAAGUGUGGACACCUCUGUAUCCUUGCGGGAGUUCUCACUGGGGCCACGACAGGUUAAAAAAGCAAGUGAUAAGAUGGCAAAAAAUCAGCCCUUUCUUUCGGCGAUGAUCCGGGUGUGGAAUUGGGACCCGAGGAAGCAGAUCCCAAGAGCGAAAAGAAACCAAAUAAAAGUCGCGGUAAGAAAAAGAAAAAUUCAGGAGAUGACCUAGCCUUGGUAUACAGAGAUGAAGAGCCACUAAAAACACACGGGAAAGAAGAUAGAAAAGUUGAAGAUCGGACUAUUGAAGUUUUUCCUCCGAAAGCUGUAGCGAUGCAUAGGGUGAGGUGGAACAUGAACAAGGGUAGUGAGAGAUGGUUGUGCUAUGGUGGAGCCGCUGGACUUGUACGUUGUCAGGAGAUUGUUUUGUCUGAUUUCGAUAAGAAAUUGGCCAUGAAGAGAUGAGACGGGUCCCUAAUAUAUAUAUAUAUAUAUAUAUAUAUAUAUAUAUAUAAUCAUGUUCUUAAUUGGCUAUCCAAUGUAAUCGCCCAAAUUUAUUCUGGAUCGGUGUAUGCAUGCAUGGGCAUCAUUUUUUGCUUCCAUGCUGUGUGGCACCGGCGGCGACCUGCCAUGGAAGUGUGAAGAGGGCUCUUGUAUGAACCGUAUUCAGCUUAAGAAGCAUAAACUGUAAUUUGUAUGUUAUUAAUAUGAAGUCAUUGGCAUCAUCAUCUCUAUUUGCUGGAAUUAUUUGAAGCUCUACCAGCUUAGUUGAUCACGACCUUCACCAGUGA